UGAGCAGACUGCUGUCCUGUGGAAGCUGCAGAGAACUGAAGGUCAGGAGCACCCUGGUACCUCCAGGGCCACCUGUGCUGCUUCCAGUGCAGAACUUUUCCAUGAAAAAGAACUUUUUUAGCUUCACAGCAGAGCUUUUGUAAUCCCUGGAGGCUCUGUAUCUAACUGCAUCAGGCAGAAACUAUUUCUCCCCUUCGUCCCUGAAGCUCAGCACCAACGUUGUUCCAAGCACCUGGAAGAGCUCCCCAAAGGUCACAAAUUAUCUAGAGUUUCAAGAGAGACUCCUGUUUCUUCCACGAAGGCUGUGCAACUGCUGAAGCUGUGAAAUUGGGUUGUACCCGGAUGGGAUGGCAGAAGGAUAUUUUUAUUGAAGUUUCCAUGGGAAAAAAAGAGAGAAAAAGAAGGGAACUAAAGCUCUGCUCCAGCAUCCUCAACCUGCUGCAUGUGAGGCUUUGAUUUACUGAUCUCUCUGAUUUACUGAUCUCGUUGUGAGCACCCACACCAACCUUUGCUCCUGUCGAGCAGAACUGAGAUGUGCAUAAACAACGCAGCUGCUUUCAACACAUAAUGAGAAUAAUUUAUAGAUCAGGGCCUGGGGAUGACUUUAUUGUACAGUCACCAGCUCCACGAGGCAGAGGCUGCUUGGAACAGCCACAGUCAUGGCAUGGAACAUCUCACAGAGUGACCACCACAGCUCCUGGCCACUUGCCCCUGGCCAUAGGAGCCUUUGUAGGACCCUGGUUCUGGUAACUAAGCAAAUGAGGGUUUGUUUUCCAUAUUUUCCCUGGUUUAUUGCCUUUGGCAAGCACUUGGUUGCUGCCUGCAUGCCUGUGAUCUUCUGUAGAAGCUGGUGUGAUAAAUCCCUUCCACCUUCAUCUCAUCUGUGCCAUGGAGCCAGAGCAGAGCGUGCCAGGGGUGAGUUAAUGUUUGUAUAAAGGAGAGAAGGCAAUCAGAACUAGGCAAGCUCUGAACUACCAAGCUGACUUGGCUAAUUGACAGCCUGUUAAUGCAAAAUGCAGGCCUUGUUAAUUGUUAAAUGUACUGGUCAUUCUCUCCAAAUUCUCACCAAACUAAAGGAAGUAAUUCAACUUCAGCUUAAAUGGAGAUACUCCUAAUUUAAUGUGUGGGUAUUUCUUUCAUCAUUUGUGUGUACUCCUCCAUUCUCCAUGAGAGAGAAAUGCUGGAUGAGGCAUCAGAGCAAAACAUCCUGGCUGCUGCUCAGUGAGCUCCCCCAAAACUGCACAGAGACAUCCCUUUUAUGCAGAGCUGCUGAGAACUCAUUCUUUAAUUUGUCCUGCUUUUUGGCAAUUAAUCCUUACAGGAAUCACAGUUUGUUGCACUGAACAUGGCAGCCCAAACUCUGUGACCUUCCCAGUAACAUCAGACCCAGCUGAAGGUUUGGAUGCCUUGCUAUAGCCAAAUUUGGGACACAUUCUUUGGUGCAAAAUCAUUAAUAUAAUGGCAAGGAUGUAUUCAGUUACAGGUACCUAGAGCUACUUCCUUUCUGGAGCACAGAUGUUAAUAGCGAUUGCAAAAAAAAAAAAAAAAAAAAAAAAAAAAAAAAAAAAAAAAAAAAAAGUAAGUAAUGUCUUCAAUUUGUUGUAAAAAUAAAAUCUUCUCCCUAACUUUUAAUAGCGUGAUACCCUGUGCUCUUUCCAAGCUUCUAUAAAUGGUCUCAAAAAGGAAUCCCUGAAUCUGUGAAAUGUGGAGGGUUCAUUUAACAUCUGGAAGUGCUCUGAGGACAGUGAAAAACGAGGCUGGCUGAUUCCUUGACACUCACACAAGGAGUCCCGAGUAUCAUCAGUGCUACUCAAUAAAAGAUUAAAUUUUCUGCACAUUGAUGCUUGAAAUUUGGGGUCUGGGCAUUUCCUGAGGGCCUGUUACUCAUGCAGAGUGUUGGGGGCUGUUUGUUUUCAGUCUGUAGCUGGAGCAGCCAAGCUGAUGCUCAUUAGGUAAUCUCUGCUGGACCAUCUCUGCUGCAUUUAUGCAGAAUAGUGCCCUUGUUACAUGCCUGGCUCCAUUUAUUUCAUCUGUUCAAAUUAGAUAUUUCCACUGAAUUAAAAACCUCCAUGUUCUUGGCUAGCAGGAGUUGAAGCUAACCAUUAGAAACAGUUUCUAAAGCAACUUUUUACAAAGUUUAUUAUUUUCAUUUCUUUUGUCCAGGAACAAGAGCUCACAACGCCUGUGGUACCCUCCCCUGGAAACUGAAGGAAAGGAUUACACUGAAAAUCGUGAUUUAAAAAAAAAUAAAAACUAAAGAAAAUAAGCAGGCAGAGCCCAAACAGGUAAGAAAGUAAACACUCAAGCAUUUCAUUCUAGAUAGUAAAAUAUGAAGAUUUUAAAAGUUCCAGGUUGAAAAGGCCCUUUGUAUCUUCCUGUUAAUAGGGUUGGGGUUUGGAUCUUAAUGACUUUAAAAAAAAAACAUAAAAGGGAAAAAAGAUAGAGAAAUAAAAGAAGCCAUUCUGGGCAUUUUUAGCAGGUUAAUUCCCUCUUUGAACAUUUGUUCUGUGCUCUCUGAUUUUCAGCCUCCUGUUUCAGAGACCCAUAGUGAAACACCAGCCCUGAUGAAGAAAUAGGACCUUGGUGUGGCCACAGCUAUGUGACUCAAAAAAAUGGCUGGAAAAAGCAAAGCACUUCCAACUAAACAUCCAAAGAAAUCAAAUAAUUGUUCAGACACCUUUGUGUUGAAAAUGCUCACAGGCUUACACAGAAGGCACGGAGAGGUGCUGCUUGUGUCCUUUUUGUUAAAUUUGGGGUUGUGUCUAUCUUAUAUUUUUCAGCUAAAGCAGUAAAUACAGAAUAUCUUUCUCUGCAGGUAUUUCAGGAGGAAAACCCCUGCAUUUUAGUGGCUGUGCUCAUCCAGCCAGCCCUGUGGGCACAGACACUUUCUCACACACAUCAUUCAUAGCAAAACCCACCGAUAAAAGGCCGGGAGUAAACUCGAUUUCUUUGCUAGAUCCCGCUACAAGGAAUUCAAGAACAGAGUGUUUAAUAAUUAUAUAAUCUUGGCUAGAGCUCCACGGCUAAAUCAGUGAGCUAGAGGAUAUUAAACACAGGGGGAAAUACCCAGAUGGACUGGCCCUGUGCAGCUGUGCUGAGCCUCCUGCUGAGGCUGCUGGACAGGCUGGACACAGGCACUGACCCUCAGCUGGUUACACAGUGACCACCAGGCCCAGCUGAUGCUCUGGUUCAGGGGCUGAGUGGUGUGUGUGUUGCAUGAAAAUCAUCUAAAAUAACAGAUAUUUCCUAUUUAUCUCUGCAGAGUCACAGCUUCCUCACUGAGGUUGUUUUCUGCUGGGGGAGACGCAGCCACAGGCACAGGGGUGGUGUGUGCUGGUGCUGCAGGCAGCUGCAGACCUGGCCAUACAACACACACAGCCUCCAGCAGGGCUGGGAGGGAUUUCUGCCAGUAACUCCCCCAAAAAUGGGAAUAACAGCCCAGGAUCUCAUGACCUGUGCUGUGAACUUCACUCAUACCCUCUGCUGAAAGCAGUUUGUUUGUAGAGAUUUUCUUUGUAUUUACUGAUCCAAACAGAGGAAGUUCUCUGUCGUUUUCCUUUCAUUGCAACAUUUUCUUGGAAUAUUCUUUUGUAUGUUUUUACUUUCUUUUUGUUUGUAUGUUCUCUCGGAGGCACGGAAGAAAUUUCCAAACAAAGUCUGAGGCAGGCUUUUCCUUCUGAAGGUGACAUGCUGCUCCUCAGAGGACCCUCCUCUGCACCUGGGGCUGCACUCCUAAGGCAGAAUUCUUUGGAAGCAGCCACAGCUUCAGGGGUUGUGAGUUUGGGGUGUCCUGUUUGGCACAGAUGUCUUGGGUUGCCAGAAGACACAUUGACUUCUCUGCUGAACCCUUCCCAAGACAGCUAUUUCAAAUUGAGACAUCUUAAUAAACACCUCGCCUGAAAACAGUGACUUACCAAUGGAAUUGUCCCUUGCAGGACAAAUAUUCCUUAUUCCAGCGUGCCCUGUUGUGCUGCAUUUUCCUCACAGUGGAAAUAGGACCAAUUUUUCCCAGCAGAUAAUGGUGUCAGGCUCAGAGGGUGACCUUCCACAGGACCCACUUUGCUGAGGCACCAUCACAAAAUCCCUUGCCAUUGCCCACCUGCUGCAAAUGACACUAAAGGCAGAGCUGAGACAACAGUUUCCUACAAAAUGUGACUGCAGGCCCAUUUUUCUUCAUUAAUCUAAUGUUAAACAUAACCUAUUACAAGGCUUCCAUUUAAGGAACAGAUGGUAAAUACAAGUUAAUGCAGAUACAGAUUAAAUAAUAUUGGCACCAGCUAAUGCAUUUACACAAAGCACAAAGCUAGUAAGUGCUGAAUGUUCUUUCAAACUAUGCUUAAAUCAUGGAAAAAUUAAUCCUUUGAUAGAUUUGUUUUUAAGUUUCUUCAGUGGCAAAGUAUUUCGGUGAAGUUACAGGGUAAAGGGCACCCGGGAUCUCUGCCUCUGAAACGUCAAGAUCCACUCUGUUAAGUAUUUUGAAGAUUUUAUUGGAUUUUAGGUUUUUCCAGAGUUACAGUAUCAAACAAAUGCAUUGAUUGAGCAGGGAAGCCAGGAGCUGGAUGACAAGAGUGGAAGCUGAUGUGCCUGGGCUUUUCCAGAGGGAGGAAGUGCUGGUUCAAGAAUAGCACAGCAAUUGUUUGCCUGAGAAAAACCCCAAAGAAUCCAACUUCCACAGGACAGAAGUGCAAACUGUGCUGCGUGAGGCAAGGUGUUCCCCACACUGCAGCUGCACAUCUGGACACACCAAAAUCCUUCCUCCUUCCCCUGCUGAUCCCUGAGAAUGGCCAGGGAUUCUGGGGGGCUCACAGCCUCCUCCCAGGGAGCAUCAACCAAAGCUCUUUUGUAGCCAAACCCUGUCCUCGUACUGGCUGGGAAGGAGGCAAAUUUCUUCACCCCACUCCCCACUUCGUUGUUUGGCUUGGUAAGAAAGUGGCAGAAAUGCUCCUGUUAAAAAAUUGUUUUUUUUUUUUAAUGUUAAAACAAUGUCUAAGGGAAUUCUCACAUUUAAUUAAAAAAUAAAGCAGACUCAGCUGACUCUGCAGGACCCUAUUUCUGUGCCUGUCUCUGGCUGCAGCCAAGGGAGGGAGACAGAGGGAUGCAGGAUGUGUGUGCACAAAAUCACCUGCUACAUAGCUGGAUCUUCCCAAGUUCUUCUUGAGAAGCAGGGUCUCAAGCUCCUUGAAAAUACCACAAAUGCAAGUCAAAGAGCUGAAGUGAUUCAAAGAGAAAGAUUCUAUUUUCUCUGCUUUUC